rnacentral:rRNA from 1 species
GGAGAGAAUAAGAAAAAUAAUUUUCGUAAUUUUAGUAAUUUUUAAUGAAAAUAAAGUAAAGACUAAAGAGAAAAGUACUGUGAAGGAAAGUUGUUAAAACUUUUUAUAGAAGAAGUAAAAUUUUGUGCCUCGUGUAUCAGAAAAAGUUUAUAUAGUUUAAUUACAAUAAGUAUCUCGAAAUAAAAUACAGUAAUUUUUAUAAAAUUUUCUUUUUAGAAAAAAAGAAUUUAAUAUAAAAUUUAAAGUGAAAUGCUAGCUGAGUUUUAUGAUAUCUAGUUUUUUUAAAAAUAAAUUUAAUUUAAUUUUUAUAAAGAAAAAGUUAUAAAAUUAAAUGGUAGGGGGGAUUAGCUCUUUACGGAAAAGAUAAUGAAAUAGUUAAAUAAAAGUAAAUUAUAUAAAUUAGGCUUAGAAGUAGCUAUAUUGAAAAAGUGUUUUAACUAAAUUAUAAUUGCUUGAAUAUUUAAAAUAAAACUUUUCUUAGGUAUAAGAAAAUGGCUUAAACAAAACAAAACAAGAUAUGAUGAUUUUAUUAGUAAAAUUUAUUGAGUAAAUAAAGAUAUUAAAAAGUAAAAAUUGUUUAAAAAAAUAAGUA